CCUACGGGAGGCAGCAGUGGGGAAUAUUGGACAAUGGGGGGAACCCUGAUCCAGCGACGCCGCGUGAGUGAAGAAGUAUCUCGGUAUGUAAAGCUCUAUCAGCAGGGAAGAAAGAAAUGACGGUACCUGACUAAGAAGCCCCGGCUAACUACGUGCCAGCAGCCGCGGUAAUACGUAGGGGGCAAGCGUUAUCCGGAUUUACUGGGUGUAAAGGGAGCGUAGACGGCUGAGCAAGUCUGAAGUGAAAGGCGGGGGCCCAACCCCCGGACUGCUUUGGAAACUGUAUAGCUAGAGUGAAGGAGAGGUAAGUGGAAUUCCUAGUGUAGCGGUGAAAUGCGUAGAUAUUAGGAGGAACACCAGUGGCGAAGGCGGCUUACUGGACUGUAACUGACGUUGAGGCUCGAAAGCGUGGGGAGCAAACAGGAUUAGAUACCCGUGUAGUC
rnacentral:rRNA from 1 species